UUAAUUCUUUAAAAGGGAAAUGGAAGAGCUUGAUCUUCCUCAAAUCUCUUAGGAGCUUCCGGAUGGCUAUUCUUUGAACACGUGAUAAAAACCAAUCAUUUUCUCUGCCCAGUUACCCCCAUGUUUGUCUUGGGUAGGGUUUCUGACCCGAUUGGUCGACCCGAACCACGUGGCUAUAAGAUCCACCAAACAAAUCUCAUCACGUUCACAUUUCCCGAGUCUUCUCUCAGUUUCACUUCCGGGUUUUAUCUCUCUCUCUCUCUCUCUCUCUCUCUUCUCGCCUCUCUGAACCAACAAAGAAGAAAAAAUGAGCUCCCAAAUCUGCAGAUCUGCUUCGAAAGCAGCAAGGUCUCUUCUCUCUUCAGCUAAGAAUGCUCGUUUCUUCUCCGGU
rnacentral:lncRNA from 1 species